rnacentral:rRNA from 1 species
UACGUAGGUGGCAAGCGUUGUCCGGAUUUAUUGGGUUUAAAGGGUGCGUAGGCGGCUUUGUAAGUCAGUGGUGAAAUAUGGCAGCUCAACUGUCAAGGUGCCAUUGAUACUGCGAGGCUUGAGUACAGAUGAGGUAGGCGGAAUUGACGGUGUAGCGGUGAAAUGCUUAGAUAUCGUCAAGAACACCUAUAGCGAAGGCAGCUUACUAGGCUGCAACUGACGCUGAGGCACGAAAGUGUGGGGAUCAAACAGG